GACGAACGCUGGCGGCGUGCUUAACACGUGCAAGUCGAACGGAAAGGCCCUGCUUUUGUGGGGUGCUCGAGUGGCGAACGGGUGAGUAACACGUGAGUAACCUGCCCUUGACUUUGGGAUAACUUCAGGAAACUGGGGCUAAUACCGGAUAGGAGCUCCUGCUGCAUGGUGGGGGUUGGAAAGUUUCGGCGGUUGGGGAUGGACUCGCGGCUUAUCAGCUUGUUGGUGGGGUAGUGGCUUACCAAGGCUUUGACGGGUAGCCGGCCUGAGAGGGUGACCGGCCACAUUGGGACUGAGAUACGGCCCAGACUCCUACGGGAGGCAGCAGUGGGGAAUAUUGCACAAUGGGCGGAAGCCUGAUGCAGCAACGCCGCGUGCGGGAUGACGGCCUUCGGGUUGUAAACCGCUUUCGCCUGUGACGGAGCGUGAGUGACGGUAAUGGGUAAAGAAGCACCGGCUAACUACGUG
rnacentral:rRNA from 1 species